rnacentral:lncRNA from 1 species
CAGAAUAGAGUGGACGACUUUGAUGAGUAAGUCGUUCUUGUACGUAAAGGACAAAAACUUCUCUUAUCAUGACAUACACAGCGCACUGGGGUAUGGCUUUGAGCUUCAAUUCCGCAUUCCCAUAAUCAGUUCAGGUUUGUGAAUUACUUGCUAUAUUCCAAGUCUACAAUUUGUAACUCGAAAAUUUCUGAAUUUCUCCAGAUGUCACCUGUUUAGAUCUAUGAAUUUUUGUUGUGCUUUAGUUCCCAUUUUAAAUCAAGGUAUGUUUAUAUUUGUUUUUGUUUAGUUUUACUUCAGGCAUAUGUGAAAUAUUAUUUGAAAAUAAAAAUCAUAUCAAUUUUAAAUAAUAAUUUUAUUACUUGUAUUUUGUCUGGCUACUUUAAUUCCCUUCUCUCUUCUUCACCUUCCUCAUAUGAAGUAAUCUACUGAUUAGUCAACCAUUAAGCAGGGCAGAGUAUAUAUAUAUCUGUGCUUCGAAAGUUCAAUGUCAAGCCUUUCAUUUUAGUCACUUUUUCUUGUAUAUUUACGGUUGGCUGAUAUUCGGUAAUAGUUUGCAUAUUCCUUUAGUGCAGAAUUGUAUUUCCUAUCAGUCAGUAGAAGGGAAAAAAAAAAAAGGAAGAAGUAAAGAGGAAGGUUAUGACGCACAUAUAUUAUAUCCAAUAAAGCAUGUCAUUUGUGAUUCUUUUUGUGAUGUUGCUUUGCAGGAGCAUAUUUCCCAAUAAGAUCUAUAUUUGGGGUUCCAUUUCUGGCUGCACGUCUAAUCUACAAACGGCGAAAAAUGCAAGAAAGGAAAAGAAGUAUGGGAUGGAAUAGCAAACAAGAAGAUGGAAUUCACAUGCUUGUAAGGUGUCAUCCACUCCGAAGAAGCUCAAAUUCAAUGCAUAUUAUCUAAAAGAUGAUGAAAGUCACAAGGAAAGGAAGAAAAAGAGAAAACAAUUCAACAAUGGAACUGAUUCCAACCACACUAACAUAGGCAAGAUGAAGUGGGAGUUAGGUAUUGCAUUAAAAUAGGAAUGAUGGUAUUGGAAUCAUCAUGAUGUUUCUCCUUCUUAGCCCUAAAUAGAGAAGUCUUCAAGCUUCAAAAUAGACACCAAGUUCACAAUCUUCUCUUAGCUCUCUCUCCUUCCUCCAAUUCUUCUAGUUCUAAAUUUCUGUUUUUGUUUUAUUUUAUGGGGAACUAACUCCCUAGCUAAGGAUAGGGAGAAAGCUUUUAAUAUGAGUGUGUAUAAUUUUUAUUAGUUUGAUCCAAAC